rnacentral:rRNA from 1 species
AACGAACGCUGGCGGCACGUUUUAAGCAUGCAAGUCGGAUGGCAGCAGGGGCAACUCUGUGAGAAUGGCGAACGGGUGAGUAACACGUAGGUGAUCUGCCUUGAGGAUGGGGAUAGCCUGUGGAAACACAGGGUAAUACCGAAUGAGCUGACGAGACUUUGGUUUUGUUAGUAAAGGUGCUACGGCAUCGCCUUGAGAGGAGCCUGCGGCUGAUUAGCUAGGGGGUGGGGUAAGAGCUUACCAAGGCGACGAUCAGUAGCCGGCCUGAGAGGGUGUACGGCAACACUGGAACUGAGACACGGUCCAGACUCCUACGGGAGGCAGCAGCUAAGAAUCUUCCGCAAUGGGCGAAAGCCUGACGGAGCGAUGCCGCGUGAUCGAUGAAGGUCGAGAGAUUGUAAAGAUCUUUUCUACAUGAGGAAUAAGUCUGGGAGGGAAUGCCCGGAUGAUGACGUUAGUGUAGGAAUAAGCCCCGGCUAAUUACGUGCCAGCAGCCGCGGUAA